rnacentral:rRNA from 1 species
GAUUAACGCUAGCUGUGCGCCUAACACAUGCAAGUCGAGCGAGAACCAGAACUAGCUUGCUAGAUUUGGGGAAAGCGGCGAACGGGUGAGUAACACGUUGGAAACCUACCCUUCACUCAGGGAUAAUGCCGAGAAAUCGGUACUAAUACCGGAUGGUCCAUAGAACUGAAAUGAACUAUGGUAAAGCUACGGCGGUGAAGGAGGGUCCUGCGUCCUAUCAGCUUGUUGGCGGGGUAAAAGCCCACCAAGGCUAUGACGGGUAGCUGGUCUGAGAGGACGGCCAGUCACAAUGGGACUGAGACACGGCCCAU